ensembl:lncRNA
AUGUGGGCCCCAGGAGCCCGAUGUAGCCCUGAGCCAGUGAGACCCUCGAAGGCCGAGACCAACCGCCUUCCCUCCGCGGGCCUUACCCACCACCCGGCCCUGCCUCAGGCCCUGGCCUCCGCCAGUGUGGGCCCCGGGAGCCUGCUCAGGGUGCCAUCCCAUGCCUGCGGCCCUGCCCCACACAGCUUACUCAUUUCUCAGGAAGUUUCUAUUCUUCUUUUUCAGUUGAAUUUUUUCUUUGCUUUUGUCACUUUUUCUUUCCUUAGCAAAACCCCGAAAUUCAUUGCCAGCAUGAGAGUUUAAGGCAGAGCUUCUCAACCUGGGCACCGUGGGCGUUUUGGCUAAACAACCCCAGCCUUGCAGGAGGCCACACAGCACCCCUGGCCCGUCCUGCCUGUCCCUGGCAUCUCCACAAGCCGCCAGGGGACCCUCAAGCGUGGGUUGAGAACCCCUGGCUUUCCUGGUCGCCUUGUUCACCCAGCUACAUGUCUUGGGACUGCUUGGGCCUCUGAGGUGUGGCCAGGCUGUUUGAGUUUGUGCACUGUGGCAGGCCACGCCCCCUCCCCCAGGCAGCUGCCAGAGAGGCCCUGUCCAGCCCCCCUAGGUGGCAGUGGCUCCUGUGGCCAGCCAGACACUCUCCCCGCUGUCUGGGGACCCUGAGGUCUGCACAGCCCACUCACCGAGGAGCAGGUCCCUGGGCGCCCUGUGCGUGGAAAGCCUGGGGUGAACUGAGGAGGGGUCUGCACGGAGGAGACUGCUGGACCAGCGGCUUGGAGGCUGGAGGAUUCCUGCUCUGGACCGGCUAUGCCGUGAGCCCCCUGCAGGCAAUGUGACACCCUGGCCCGCACCACACACAGUCUGGGGCGGUGACACCGAGACAACUCUUUGGUCCACGUCUGUCCAGGAGACAACAUACAGAGGACCCAGCCUGAGCCCCACGUGAACUGGACCAGGGAAGUGACCCCUGUCUGCUGGCCCUGGAGGAAGCCAUUGUCACUCAGGCUGGAGAGGGAAGGGCACUGGGGUCUGUCCUCAGCACCCGGCCCAGCUCAGUGGUGCGAUGGUGGAUGCUAUAUGGGCUGUCACCCAGCUGACCUCUGCUGAGCUGACCAGCACAAGUCCCCACGGAGAGGCCAUCCCUGGCGUUGAUAGUGGCACCAGUGGCACUGGGGAUGGAUGGACAAAGCAUCACCACCUGUAGCCACCAUGACACGCCUGAGGCCAGGCUCUGAUGUCCAGCAUUGGAGCCAGCCUACCAGGCCAUGUCCUCACCGCAAUGUGGAAGGUCAAUGUGUGCGGACCAUACAGAGCCAGCCCUGGCUGCUGGGCCCAGUGAGGGCACCAUGGAGCGAGGACCGCACAGCUGCAUCCUGUCCUGCUGUGGCACCCCAGGGUGCCAGGUCUGACCUGAUCCAAGUGAGGACCACUGUCCCUCACCCCGGAUCCUGCAAGGUGACAGAAGACAGUGGGAUGACACUUCUGGUCAAGUGUGUGUGCCAGCUGUCCAGCAGGGUUCCCUGGCCACAGGAGUGCUGGGUGUGCCUGUGAGCACGGGGCUCCCUCCGCAUCCUGGGUCGAGUUACAAGUUCAGCAUCGCACUUUGGAAACAUCACUCUGAGAUAGCCCAUUUAAAGGCCUUGAUGUCUGCUCCCAGAGGGCAGAGAAGGAGCACGAGAAAGACCUUGUUCACCCCCAAGCCCAGCUCUGCAGGCCUGGCCCACAACUGCCAGGCACAGCGGGUGGAUAGAAGUGGGUAUGGCAGGGACAGGCAGCUGGCUGUCCUCUGUCCUUGGCUUGUACUCAGUUGAGGGAGUGGGCCAAGCCUUUCAGGGGCCAGAGAGCAGAUUUUAAAACACUGAAGAACUGAGCAUGGUGGAUCAUGCCGGUAAUCCCAGCACUCUGGGAGGCUGAGACAGGAGGAUUACAAGUUCAGCCCCAGCCUGGUCAAUUUAGCAAGAGCCUGCCUCAAAAUAAAAGAGGGCUGGGAAUGUAGCCCUGUGCUAAGGCCCUGGGCUCAGUCCCCCUUUAUUGCAGUCACUAAGCAAAUGCCAAAGACAGCAGAGAUCAGACUGUCAGCAUUUCCAUGUGGCACCACAGUGUCCUGAGUGUGGAGUUCAGGGCCACUCGGGAGGCCAGCCAGGGAAGGCAGGCCGGGUCAGUUUCACAGGAGGGGGACCCUGAGGUCUGGAACCUAAGCGCCUGUUCCGUGUCCCUGGACACUGCUGGCAAAGGGCUGCUUCCCACCCGAGGACAGCAGAAGACACAGGGACCGGGGCCCAGUCAUCCCCAGGGCAUGGCAGCGGUGGAAACGCUCUGCUGGACUGUGGCACAGCUGUCUGUGGCCCUGGUGCCCACUUGGGUCAGCAGGCAGGAUGAAGUGACUGGACUCCCCGUCAGUGUGGCCAUCCCAGCGCACUCGUGUGACUGUGACGAACCCUGCAGCUCCACCCGACACUUUCAGGUGCCCUGGCCUGGCUCUGAGGAGCGGCAGCAUUUGCCCCAGAAGCAGGGGCCGGGGAUGCCUCGGAGUACGUGGCAGCCUCCCCUGUCCCCAAGGCCCGGGGCCACCUGGCUUUGCAUCCAGAGCAGUGGCAGUGUGGCCUAGACAUGUGGUUGCAGUGACGGACACAGUGCUGCGGGCCUCAGUGACGGGGGCUGUGGGAACUGUGCCUUCCAUCCCCGCCUGCCACUGCCUGGCCCCUCCUCCGAUGCAGACAGAGCGGCGCCCCUGGGACCCUGGAGUGCAGCAUGGUGCUGCCAAGUGCCUGUGUGCCUCGUGCUGGGGCCGAGGCCACGACAAGGCCUGCUGGCUCAGAGAACCCCGUGCCCGCACCUGGAGGGGGCUGGGAGGGGAGGAACAAGGGCCCCGUCACGCCUGUCUCCUGCCCCCCGCCAGGGCACUGCACAAACAGCACUCAGCCCAGAGGCCCUGGGGGGUUUGUUCCCCUCACCCACCACCCCGCUCUGCCACAAACUGGGGCACACAUAUAUGUGUGUAUGUGUGCGUGUACAUGCAUGGAUAUGAGACCCACGCAGUCAGGGCCCGGGCCAACCUGGGUGCUUGUGGCCACUGAGAAGCCACCCGUGCACCUUCCCCUCUGCACGCAGCUGCAGCCGACGACAGGAGUCGCACUGAGCCAGCUGUGCACAUGUCCCUGCCCCAGGAUCCUUCCCCACGGCCUGGGGUGCGGGACAAGGAGCAGAAAGCUGGUGCUGGCUUGAAACAUCUUUCCUGAAGUCCUCACCGCGUACUUGGCGUUGGGCAGGCAGGCCUGGCCCCUGUGCCUGCUCGGUGACAGUGGCGGCGGCGGCAGCAGCACCAGGCAGGCAGGGGUCCGUCAUUAGCAGUCCUCACAUGCGCCGAAGAGCUGCAUCCACACGGGAGUGUCCAUCUGGCCCACACCAGACCCUGCCCAACUCCUCCUCCCUCCUGGGCUCCUUGUUCGGGAGCAGGCAAGGGAAGCUCCCUCCCCAGACCCACCCCGGGCCCACGGAGGUCCCAGUUCACACCCAUCACGCCCAGUGCUGCCGCCUACAGCAGAACCCGAUCCCCUACCACCACCACCACCACUACCACCCACCCCAGCACCUCCAGCACGCCCACCAGUACCACCACGGCCCCCACGGGGGCCACCCCACCUACAGCGCCCAGGGCCACGGCCACCCACCGCUGCCCGCGGCCCACACCGGCCACGCAGCGCACCACCACGGGCAGCCGCCCGCCCCGCCGCCCCCCGCCAGCAGCAAGGCCAAACCCAGCGGCAUCAGCACAAUUGUGUAGACAGCAGGGCGGGGCCCCACCCCCGCCCCCGCCCCCGCCCCACCCCGCGCACCGCAUGGGCUGCCCGGGGCACCGGCACCUCGUUUCCAGCUCUCCACGGCCCUGACAGCUGAGCCCCUGCUGUCUCAGAGCCACGGGCUCGCCUCCCGUGGGGCAGACACCUUCCGGAUGCAGCCUGGGCGCCCUGGGCUCCCUUCCCCUGGUGCGAGGGUGGCCCAGCAGCCACCGCCAGACUCCAAAGGCCCCCGGCUGUGUAGACGGGGGCUGCUGCCUGCCCCACUGCAGCCCCGCUCUCUGCUCCCUCUUUUUCCAUCUCUGUGAAAACCCUGCCUUGAAAAGAAGAAAUGAGGUACUUUUAAAGAACAGACAAAACACAGCAAAACCCCAAACUUCCUGCAUUAUUGCUCUGUUAUUGACAAUGGGCAAAAAAAUUAAGUAGGCCUGAUAUGGUUGAUGAAAAUACGUAAGUAAACUUUAUACAAUAUAAAUAUAUACAUAUAUAAAUAUAUAUAAAUAUAUAUAUAUGCUGUAUAGGUAGUAUUUGUGUGUGAAAGACAAGCGUUUCAGUACACAAAUUAGCAAUAGAGACCGUCCAAGGACCUCCUCUUACCUGAUAGGAAGACAGUGCUUAGAUGAGUGUGAGAAAGUAGACCAAACACUUCCCCGCUAGGAACAAAUCCAGAUCCCUCCAUAUUUUCAUACAAAAAAAUAAAUAAAUAAAUAAAGGUCCCUCCAGGACUAAAAUCUUACACCAUCAUUACUAACUGUGCCAAGUACAUAGCAUCUGUCUGAAACUCCAUACUGCUUUGUAUAAAUCCUUAUUUUAUUAACAGAUACUACCCUAAAUAACCAGUAUUAUAACGGCUCUGUUAUUUCAGGUGAGCAUCUAGGUAGAACGCAGUCAGCUCUCAGUAGCAAGUGGAGACAGGUAGCUAAGAUCUGGUCAUCCCGGGGCAUCGGUUGCAAGCUCCUUAGCACUUCGUGUGAAGCCCUCCCUCUCCACUGCCCUCUCUGCAUUCGGUUGGAUGCACUCAUCCCACUCCCAGAAGGUCCAAGCAGCACAGGGCCCAUCUCCGCCAUGACAGUGGUCCACCCAUCUGACAACACAGCUCCCUCCCCUGGCCCUGCCCAGCAGGCAGGACCCCAAGAGCGAGAGCAGACCCUCAUGAAGUGCUAAGGCUCUCAAAGGCAGCCCCUGGCGGGGGAUGGUGUGUGUCCCAUGCUGUGUCCAGAGUGGUAGCAGUGAUCACUGUAAUUCCACGUAGCCAUGUGCUCACCAAAACCGCCCCCCCCAUGUCAUCACUGUGGCCACCAUUGUGACCCUGGCUGUCAAGCAGCUGGCCCUUGCCAGGCAAAUCCCCGCUGCCUCCCCUGGUCCCGUGAGCUGCCCGGGCAUCACAUGACUCUUAGCUGUGCUCUUGUCGCUUCUGUGUUGUGGUGACACCAUGCGCUGCACACCCACCAGCACUAGGUCUGUUCCCCGUCACCCACAGGCCCUCCUUUGCAG